rnacentral:rRNA from 1 species
AUGAACGCUGGCGGCGUGCCUAAUACAUGCCCGUCGAGCGAACAGACGAGGAGCUUGCUCCUCUGACGUUAGCGGCGGACGGGUGAGUAACACGUGGAUAACCUACCUAUAAGACUGGGAUAACUUCGGGAAACCGGAGCUAAUACCGGAUAAUAUAUUGAACCGCAUGGUUCAAUAGUGAAAGACGGUUUUGCUGUCACUUAUAGAUGGAUCCGCGCCGCAUUAGCUAGUUGGUAAGGUAACGGCUUACCAAGGCAACGAUGCGUAGCCGACCUGAGAGGGUGAUCGGCCACACUGGAACUGAGACACGGUCCAGACUCCUACGGGAGGCAGCAGUAGGGAAUCUUCCGCAUUGGGCGAAAGCUUGACGGAGCAACGCCGCGUGAGUGAUGAAGGUCUUCGGAUCGUAAAACUCUGUUAUUAGGGAAGAACAAAUGUGUAAGUAACUAUGCACGUCUUGACGGUACCUAAUCAGAAAGCCACGGCUAACUACGUG